CUCGCCCCGGAGUCCUGGAGGUACCUGAAAACUUCCUCGAGCUGCAGUUGCUGUGCCGGCUUCCUAGGACAUUCAUCAGCUCGUCCUGUCACCCUGCCAGGUCUCCAUAUGCUCAGCAAAUCUGCGUAAUUGUAAAUCGAAAGUAGGAGCCCUGGACGGUAAAGGCCAAAGAAACUUCUAACAAAGGAUGCAGUUCUCAAAUCCGGUUGUGAAAUUUCAAGAACACUUGCAAUAUUUGAAUCUGGGAGAAGAACAACAAAAAGAAUGAGUGUGGCUCUGGGAAACACUCUACAGGGUUUCUUAACCUUCAAAGAUGUGGCUCCAGAGUUCACACUAGAGGAAUGGGAAAGUCUCAAUUAUGCUCAGCGGGCACUGUACAUGGAUGUGAUUUUGGAGACGUACAACAAUCUACUGUCUGUGGUUUUAUUUUUCAGAAAAUCAUCUGAUACGUGGAAAACAUGGGAAGGUCUUGGAACAAUACACAGAGUGCAUUGUCCAUGAGCAUGUGAAUAUCCAAAAGAAGUUUUGUAAAUGGGAUGAAAUUAGCAAAAUGACUCUUGAAUCCACCCAAAGUACACCUUAUAAAACUCAUCUCCAAGAUCCCUCUCUUCAGUCCUCAAACCUGGAAAGACAUAAAGCUGGCAAAAUGAGAGAAGUUUACAAAUAUAAAGACUUUGUACAGUUUUCUAAUGAAUGUGCUAUCAUUGGUGUAAGUUCCGGAAUGCACACAGAGAACAAAGAACACAAAAAUACAGAAUUUGAUAAGAAUUUUGUCUAUAAACAUAAACUAAUGCUGAAACAAAACAUUAAUGGUAAGAAUCUUCACCAAUGUAGUAAAUCUGAGAAAUGCUUUGCCAGAAAAGGGAAUCUUCAUUUGCAUCAGAGAAUUCAUACAGGAGAGAAACCUUACAAAUGUAGUCAAUGUGACAAAUAUUUUGCCCAACAAUCCUGGCUUAUGCGUCAUCAAAGAAUCCAUACAGGAGAGAAACCUUACAAAUGUAAUCAAUGUGACAAAUUCUUUGCCCAAGAAUCCCAUCUUAGUAUUCAUCAGAGAAUUCAUUCAGGAGAUAAACCAUACAAAUGCAGUGAAUGUGACAAAUGCUUUGGCUACAAAGGCAGUCUGAGAAUUCAUCAGAGAGUUCAUACAGGAGAGAAACCAUACAAAUGCAGUGAAUGUGAUAAAUACUUUAGCCAGCAAUCCAAUCUUACUAUUCAUCAGAGAAUUCAUACAGGAGAUAAACGAUACAAAUGCAGUGAAUGUGACAAAUGCUUUGGCCAGCUAUCCAAUCUUAGUAUACAUCAGAGAAUUCAUACAGGAGAUAAACCAUACAAAUGCAGUGUUUGUGACAAAUGCUUUGGCCUACAAAGGCAGUCUGAAAAUUCAUCAGAGAAUUCAUUCAGGAGAGAAACCAUACAAAUGCAGUGAAUGUGACAAAUACUUUAGCCAGCAAUCCAAUCUUAGUAUUCAUCAGAGGAUUCAUACAGGAGAUAAACCUUACAAAUGCAGUAAAUGUGACAAAUGCUUUGGCCACCGAGUUAGUUUGAGAAUUCAUCAGAGAAUUCAUACAGGAGAGAAACCAAACAAAUGUGGUGAAUAUGACAAAUGCUUUACCCAAAACUACAGUCUUUGUUUACAUCAGAGACUUCAUAUGGAAGAGAAACCUUACAAAUGUGGUGAAUGUGACAUAUGCUUUGGUUGACAGUCUCAUCUUAGUAUUCAUCAGAGAAUUCAUUUAGGACAAAAACCUUUCAAAUUUCCUUUAUGUGGGAAAUGCUUUACCCAUAAGUCUGAAUUCAUCAGAGAAUUCAUACUGGAGAGAAACCAUGGAAGUGUACUGAAUGUGACAAAUCUUUUACUCACAGUUACUUUGACAAUUGUUGAGAGAAUUCAUCUAGGAGAAUAAAUUUACAAAUGUGUGACAAAUACUUUAUCCAGAAAUGCGGACUUCAUAGAGGAGAGAAACCUUAGAAAUGCAGUGAAUGUGACAAAUGCUUUACCCAAAUGUUAGCCUAAAAAGGCAUCAGAGAUUUCACAAUGAAAUAAUACAUGCAAGUGUAAUGUAUGUGAAAAUUGCAUUAACUACAAUGUCUGACAGAUUACAUACAGUAGAGAAACAGUAUAAAUUUAGUCAAUAAAACAAUACCAGCAAAUAUCGUCUUAAAAUUCAUUAGAUAAUAUUAAAGGAGAGAAAAUUUUCAAAAGU
rnacentral:lncRNA from 1 species